AGUUGAGCACUAGCUGUAUACUAAAAUUGGAACGAUACAGAGAAGAUUAGCAUGGCCCCUGCACAAGGAUGACAUGCAAAUUCAUGAAGUGUUCCAUAUUUUU
ensembl:snRNA U6 U6 spliceosomal RNA